GACCAAAGGGGGCGAGCGCAAGCAGCUUCCACCGAAGGAGGAGCCUGCGUCCGAUUAGCUAGUUGGUGGGGUAACGGCCUACCAAGGCGACGAUCGGUAGCCGGCCUGAGAGGGCGACCGGCCACACUGGAACUGAGACACGGUCCAGACUCCUACGGGAGGCAGCAGUGGGGAAUAUUGCGCAAUGGGCGAAAGCCUGACGCAGCGACGCCGCGUGGGUGAUGAAGGCCUUCGGGUUGUAAAGCCCUGUCGGGUGGAACGAGUGACUUAGUGGCGAAUAACCGCUAGAUGUGACGGUACCACCGAAGGAAGCCCCGGCUAACUACGUGCCAGCAGCCGCGGUAAGACGUAGGGGGCGAGCGUUGUUCGGAUUUACUGGGCGUAAAGCGCGCGUAGGCGGCCAGAUAAGUCGGGUGUGAAAUCCCUCGGCUCAACCGAGGGUCCGCAUCCGAUACUGCUUGGCUCGAGUCUAGGAGAGGAAAGCGGAAUUCCCAGUGUAGCGGUGAAAUGCGUAGAUAUUGGGAGGAACACCGGUGGCGAAGGCGGCUUUCCGGACUAGUACUGACGCUGAGGCGCGAAAGCUAGGGGAGCGAACGGGAUUAGAUACCCCGGUAGUCCUAGCCGUAAACGAUGGGCACUAGGUGUGGGAGGUAUUGACCCCUUCCGCGCCGAAGCUAACGCAUUAAGUGCCCCGCCUGGGGAGUACGGCCGCAAGGCUAAAACUCAAAGGAAUUGACGGGGGCCCGCACAAGCGGUGGAGCAUGUGGUUUAAUUCGACGCAACGCGAAGAACCUUACCAGGGCUUGACAUCCCACGAACCUGCCUGAAAGGGCGGGGUGCCCGCAAGGGAGCGUGGAGA
rnacentral:rRNA from 1 species